AGAGUUUGAUCCUGGCUCAGGAUGAACGCUGGCGGCGUGCUUAACACAUGCAAGUCGAACGGAGUUAACAUUUUUAAAGCAAAUAGCUUGCUAGGAGUGGAGAAGGUGUUAACUUAGUGGCGGACGGGUGAGUAACGCGUGGGUAACCUGCCGUAUGCAGGGGGAUAACACUUAGAAAUAGGUGCUAACACCGCAUAAGCGCACGGAGACGCAUGUUUCUGUGUGAAAAACUCCGGUGGCAUACGAUGGACCCGCGUCUGAUUAGCCAGUUGGCAGGGUAACGGCCUACCAAAGCGACGAUCAGUAGCCGGCCUGAGAGGGCGGACGGCCACAUUGGGACUGAGACACGGCCCAAACUCCUACGGGAGGCAGCAGUGGGGAAUAUUGCACAAUGGGGGAAACCCUGAUGCAGCGACGCCGCGUGAGUGAAGAAGUAUUUCGGUAUGUAAAGCUCUAUCAGCAGGGAAGAAAAUGACGGUACCUGACUAAGAAGCCCCGGCUAACUACGUGCCAGCAGCCGCGGUAAUACGUAGGGGGCAAGCGUUGUUCGGAAUGACUGGGCGUAAAGGGUGCGUAGGCGGUGUAGCAAGUUAGAAGUGAAAUACCUAGAGCUUAACUCAGGUGCUGCUUCUAAAACUGCUAUACUUGAGUGCAGUAGAGGAAAGUGGAAUUCCUAGUGUAGCGGUGGAAUGCGUAGAUAUUAGGAGGAACAUCAGUGGCGAAGGCGACUUUCUGGACUGUAACUGACGCUGAGGCACGAAAGUGUGGGGAGCAAACAGGAUUAGAUACCCUGGUAGUCCACACUGUAAACGAUGGAUACUAGGUGUAGGAGGUAUCGACUCCUUCUGCGCCGAAGCUAACGCAUUAAGUAUCCCGCCUGGGGAGUACGGCCGCAAGGUUGAAACUCAAAGAAAUUGACGGGGACCCGCACAAGCAGCGGAGCAUGUGGUUUAAUUCGAAGCAACGCGAAGAACCUUACCAAGACUUGACAUCGCAUGAUCGCCUAAGAGAUUAGGUUUUCCCUUCGGGGACAUGUAGACAGGUGGUGCAUGGUUGUCGUCAGCUCGUGUCGUGAGAUGUUGGGUUAAGUC
rnacentral:rRNA from 1 species